rnacentral:tRNA from 1 species
AAGGAUUUAAGUUAAUUUAUAAACUAGCAACCUUCAAAGUUGGAAAUAAAGCUCUUUAAGCCUUA